rnacentral:lncRNA from 1 species
GAAAGACGGCAGUCAGUUCAAUGCGUUUCAAAUGUAAAAAGUAACAGUAUAUGAACAAGUGAUAAAAUAAACACAAACCUAUUAUACAAUAGAGUACUCACUUUACUACUUACUAGUACUCGUUACUUAUUCACCAUUCUUUUAGUAGCGUACCUUGCUUACAUCGGAAUCGCCUUCAUCGCCAUGAAAUUAUAUCUGCACGUGAAUGCUGCUCUAUUAUUAAUUCUCUUGGGCAGAUACCAUUGUCACCCUAAAAACACGGAAAUAAUACACGAAAAGUAUUCUCAUAUGAACCUUUUUGGACAUCCUGUAAAUUUUAUGAAAGCAGGCAUUAAAAGGAAUACGCCACUUGCCAAGAUUGCUGGAUUUUUCGUUCCGAAAAACUACCAUGUUAAUGGCGGAAGAAAUUGGAAUAUUAAAAUAAUUCCACAUGUAUUAGAAAUGCAAGGUUAUAAAAACUUUGCUUUGAAUAACUAUGAAAGACAAGGACAAGAAAUUUAUGACCGCACAAAUCAGUGGCUUAACUAAAUCUAAAAUAAGUUUUAACAACAAUAAAUAAUUAGGCCUAGUAAGCGAAGCUUUUGCUUGUCCAUUAACGUUAUCAAUGCAUGCAUUGUUUGCUCCAAUAUGACGCUCAAGUAACCCGUUGACUGUUGACUUGUAUAUGUAAUUAUAGAGCGUCAUAUUUGAACAAACAAUGCAUUGUAUUGUUAACGUUAAUUAUUAAUUAAUUCUUGUAAAUCGAGUCUCUGUGCGUGACGCGAUGGAUAGCUAUCUUUAUUUCAUAUGCUAUUGCAAAAAAAUAUCUGAACAGCAUGAACACCACAACACAUUGAAAACCUUCAUCUAUGUUGUCAAAUAAAAUGAAAAGAAAUGGUUAAUUAAGAAUCGAGUUUUAAAAAAUUGAUUUCUUUACCUUUGUGAAUUGAACUACGAUUUAUAACUCAUAUACUCGAUAGCGAGUUGCUGCUAUAAGUAGUUACUUGAAGAUACAGUACAAAAUUCUGAUUUAACUUUCUUCUUUUCACUUUAUUUUAAUAACUUCCCACAGCU